UACGGAGGGUGCAAGCGUUGUCCAGAUUUAUUGGGUUUAAAGGGUGCGUAGGCGGCGUCAUAAGUCCGUGGUGAAAGCCAACAGCUCAACUGUUGAACUGCCAUGGAUACUGUGAGGCUUGAGUACAGACGAGGUAGGCGGAAUGGAUCGUGUAGCGGUGAAAUGCAUAGAUACGAUCCAGAACUCCGAUUGCGAAGGCAGCUUACUAGGCUGUAACUGACGCUGAGGCACGAAAGCGUGGGGAGCGAACAGG
rnacentral:rRNA from 1 species